AAUCUUGUACUGUUAGAGUAAACCUUUCCUACUGGUUACUCGACUCUGUUCUUUAUUGGAUGGAGUAGUGUCGCAAGGCAUCAUUUAAUAUUAUAUUGCUCUUUAAUGUAGUAAUUGGGUUAAACUGGUUAUGAAAUUAAAGGGAGAACAGUAUGAUAUUAAAUGGGGUUCCAGUUCAUUUACUUUGAGUAAAUUAGAGUGUUCAAAGCAGCCUUUUGGGGCAUUGAAUAGAUUAGCAUGGGAUAAUAGAAUAGGAUUUUUAUCUAUUUAUUUGGUUUUUAGAUUUAAAAUAAUGAUUAAUAGGGAUAGUUGGGGGCACUUGUAUUCAAUAGUCAGAGGUGAAAUUCUAGGAUUUAUUGAAGACAAACUUCAGCGAAAGCAUUUGCCAAGCAUGUUUUCAUUAAUCAAGAACGAAAGUUAGGGGAUCGAAGACGAUUAGACACCGUCGUAGUCUUAACUAUAAACUAUGCCAACCAGGGAUAUGAGGGAUUUUUUAAUUUAUGUUACUAUCAAGUAACAUAAUCUCUUGUGAACCUUGUGAGAAAUCAUAAGUUUUUGGGUUCUGGGGGGAGUAUGGUCGCAAGGCUGAAACUUAAAGGAAUUGACGGAGGGGCACCACCAGGAGUGGAGCCUGCGGCUUAAUUUGACCCAACACGGGAAAACUUACCAGGUCCAGACAUUUGAAGGAUUGACAGGUUGAUAGCCCUUUCUUGAUUAAAUGGGUGGUGGUGCAUGGCCGUUCUUAGUUGGUGGAGUGAUUUGUCUGGUUAAUUCCGAUAACGAACGAGACCUCUGCCAUUAAAUAGAGAUAGUUAUAAGAAAUUAUAGCUAGUUAUAAAUAUUUACUCUUCUUAAUGGGACUUUUGGUUUUUAAUCCAAAGGAAGUUAGAGGCAAUAACAGGUCUGUGAUGCCCUUAGAUGUUCUGGGCCGCACGCGCGCUACACUGAUAGCAUCAAAAAGUAUAUUUAUUUAAUCCUUCUCUGGAAAGAGUGGGUAAUCUUUUUUAAAUGCUAUCGUGAUGGGGAUAGAUGAUUGCAAUUAUUCAUCUUGAACGAGGAAUUCCUAGUAAGCAUAAGUCAUCAGCUUAUGUUGAUUACGUCCCUGCCCCUUGUACACACCGCCCGUCGCUGCUACCGAUUGGAUGAUCCGGUGAAAUCUUUGGAUUCUGAUAAAAUACUUGGAGUAAAAUUCAAGUUUUAUUGGGAGAAGUUGAUUAAACCUUAUCAUCU
rnacentral:rRNA from 1 species